UAUUUUGUCAGAUCAUCGUGAUGAUUAUUAUAUAAUAAUUAUUGCGUAUACGGUGUUAAAGGUUUGACGAAAUAUCUGCAGAAUGACUGUGUGAUUCUGGGAGAAGUGGGAAGAGGGUUGCAGCGGGUAGCGCCAGCACGCGAAUAAAACGAUAAAUCUUUACGACCCGUGGAACGCGUGUUUUUGUUUUCUUCAAAUAUUUGAAACGGUAGUGUACAUGAAACGCCCUCCUGAUAUAUUACCGACAUGUAUCGGCACGCCAUCCUUAUUGUAAUAUGUUUCAUCGUCUGAUGGAAAUACGACCGAAGAAAUCUUAAGAUAAAAACCUACCUGCCCGUGUCUUAGGUAUAUACGGUACGUAUU